rnacentral:rRNA from 1 species
AUUGAACGCUGGCGGCAGGCCUAACACAUGCAAGUCGAGCGAGCGGCGGACGGGUGAGUAAUGUAUGGGGACUGCCCGAUAGAGGGGGAUAACUACUGGAAACGGUGGCUAAUACCGCAUACUAUCGGAUAACCCAUAUGGGAUUAGCUAGUAGGUGGGGUAAAGGCUCACCUAGGCGACGAUCUCUAGCUGGUCUGAGAGGAUGAUCAGCCACACUGUGACUGAGACACGGCCCAGACUCCGACGGAGGCAGCAGUAGGGAAUAUUGGACAAUGGACGAAAGUCUGACGCAGCCAUGCCGCGUGUAUGAAGAAGGUCUUAGGAUUGUAAAGCACUGUUGUCGGGGAAGCGUUAUCUAAAGAAAAAGCAACGGCUAACUACGUGCCAGCAGCCGCGGUAAUAC